AAAAAUUAAAGAGAAAUACCUUUGGGUCGUGGAGAUAUAAAAGAUGCAAGUUUGGGUGUCUAGAGAGAAAAACGUGAAGAAGAAGAGGGUCUUCUUCUAGGGUUUUUAUUUUCAUAUCUUUCCUCCCUCUAUCUUGAGUUUCCUGAGAGUGUCUCAGAUCUAAAACUCCUCCUUCUACUUUCCAUCUUUGAAAGAGUCCAAAUCAAGAAGAAGGAGGCACCUGAUCAACCAUCAAAGAAGGAUCAGCGUAGUACUAGCAUACUAUGCUGAUUUCCUGAAGCAGGACUUCUGAUCG
rnacentral:lncRNA from 1 species